rnacentral:rRNA from 1 species
UACGUAGGGGGCAAGCGUUGUCCGGAAUCAUUGGGCGUAAAGCGCGUGUAGGCGGCCAGGUAAGUCCGUUCUGAAAGCCCGGGGCUCAACCCGGCGAGGCGGAUGGAUACUGCUUGGCUCGAGUCCGGAAGAGGCGAGUGGAAUUCCUGGUGUAGCGGUGGAAUGCGCAGAUAUCAGGAGGAACACCAAUAGCGAAGGCAGCUCGCUGGGACGUUACUGACACUGAGGCGCGAAAGCGUGGGGAGCGAACAGG